AUUACCUAAGAAAAGUGGAGAUGGCUUCCCUGGUCUUGACUUGAAUUCAGGAUGGAACUGUACUCCAAUGAAAAAUUUAUGACUGGGUAGUUCAAUAAUCUCCAUGCGUCUUCCACUCUCAUCCUUGCCAACAAAUGAAAGUCCGGCCUUCUCAAACUCUGGUACCAUUUCAGGAUUUACCUGAAAAACAGUGAAGUCUUCACUCAAAGAAGUCCAGGAUUAUUAUCUUACAGCUUUGCAGAUUUGCAUGCAGUGGCAUGGAAAUAUGUUCUCCUUGAUCCAAGCCGCAUAGUUGCCCCCAUAUGGGUUUUGGAACCCUCUGGCAUGAAAAUGACGCAGGGUGACAUUGUAUCUGGGUCAAACUCUGUGCUAUUUGCACCCGGUAAUUUCAUGAUAGAACAGGCAAAAUCAAUCACUGCAAUUUGCAUACCCAAGCAAAUGCCGAGAUAAGGAACAUUAUUUUCUCGUGCAUAUUUUGCAGCAAGAAUUUUUCCCUGAACACCUCUAUCUCCAAAGCCUCCAGGGACAAGUAUACCCUCUGCACCCUGAAAUGUAAAUUUUCUUCAAAUGGCUGAGCAUAACUUAUCAAAAAUUCAAGGGGCCAUUCGAGUAUAAUCUUCAAGAUCACAGGAAGGAACCCACUCCACUACAAGCUUUCUUCCCAUAGCAACCGAUGCAUGCAAAAGUGCCUGAAAUAAGGACAGGUAGGAAUCGGACAGCCCAGUAUAUUUUCCAACCAUCGCAAUCUUAACCUGGAACAUUGCACAGCAUUGAACUGAUGAAUGAACUUAUUACAUAACCAUGGAAAAUACAUACAAUUGAAGGUCUAGAACUUUCAGAAUAGCUUCAUGGGCCCUUUGAUGUAGAUCAACCAAGAAAAGAAAAAAAAAAAGAAAAGGUCAACUAACUGAAAAUCUCACAACCACCAUCCUUAACAGGAAACAGGAAGUAUGUUUUUUAAUAUAAUUAAAAACGUGUCAUGAACCCUAAUAAACUGCAAAUAUUAUAACCUCUCAUAUGUUUGAUAUGUCUCGUUGUUUCAGAUAAGCAGAACUUACCUGUUCACCAACUACAUUUAAAACUGGAACAAGACUGACAUGGACCAGACAGAAGUUUCCAGGUCCUACAACAUAGAAUGACGUAGGAAAAAUUAGAUAGAAUUGUUUUUUUCUUUACCUAUGGUGCCACCAAGUUCUAUGACACAAACAUCAGGAGGUCCUUCUUUACCAUCGACCGGAUUCAUCGCUACACGUUCAAUCCAAUCUUGAAUUUCAUCUGUAAUAUGUGGCACAACCUGAAAAGGAAAAUAUGGACAAAUUAAGGCUAUCAGAUUCAGUUACCUGAUAUAUUUUUCCCGUGGUUAUGUUGUUAUCACGGGUCAAUUUGAUGUCCAGAAAACGUUCGUAAUUUCCAAGGUCCAAUUACCUCUCCACCAUCGUCCAAAACGAAGACCUCACCAUGCUCGAACGGAGACAUGGUUCCAGCAUCAGUGUUGAGGUAUGGGUCUGCAGAUGGGUAGCCAUAAAUGAGAAUAGCCCGCAGGCCUUGAGCACGACGCCGAUGCUGCUCGCGGUCACGCCCUUGCCGAGGCCGCUCACCACCCCUCCUGUCACCAGCACGUACUUCAU
rnacentral:sRNA from 1 species